AUCCAGCAGAUGGCGGUAAUGGAUGCCAACCAAUGUAAAAUUCAACAGAAGAAGAAGAAUGCAACACAUCAACACAUCAACGUCAAAGAUUAGCAACUCCGAUAUAACAACUGUGUAUCUCUAAUGUUUUACACUAAAUAUUUGACUACAUUGGAUCGUCUGGACCUUUGUCCGCUCUGAAACUCCGUCGAGGAACGAUGAGAAGGCGUUGCCCCUUGCGACCCCAGCUCCCACUGGGUGGUUGCCACACUGGUGGCCAUGGCCGACAUCGGAGGUUGGGAUGACCAUUUCCUGCGUCAAGCUUUAGCCUUCGUCCUGGAACCCGGGGGGCUCGGCCCCCACCCGGCCCACCUCCCACCGCGCCAGGACCCGGGGUUACACGGGAUUCGAACCAUAUCUGCAACACUCCGUGUCACAGAGGCUUAACCAAGCCGGAACGCAUCCCGCUGCCCCACCGAGCCCCUACGCACUCAGACCUGUUCGGAACUUCUAUUUAUUCUUCACAUCACUGUGGAGAGAAAAUCUGGAAAACAUCAGCAGGAGGAAGCCUGGAUUUGAUCCAGCAACCCCAGGUAUCAGCACCACCAACUUAUCACACUGAGCUGUACCUGAGCUUACUAUGACCUGCUCGGAACUUCUAUUAAUGCUCACAUUAGUCUGAAGAGAAAACUGUGAAAACAUCACCAGGAGGAAACCUGGGUUUGAUCCAGCAACCUCAGCAACCACAUAAGCAUCUUAUCUCACUGAGCUGUACUUGAACUUACUGUGUUCUGCUCGGAACUUCUAUUUAUUGCUCACAUUAGUCUGAAGAGAAAAUUGUGAAAAGAUCUGGAGGGAUUAGCUUGGAUUCAAUCCUUUAACCUCUACUUGAAGGACAGCAUCUUAUCUCACUGAGCUGUCCUUGAGCUUGUAAAGUGUUUUUCGGAACUUCUACUUGUUGUUCACAUUAGUCUGAAGAGAAAACAAAAAAACAUUACCAGUGAACAGCUUGGGUUUGAUCUGUCAACCUCAGCUUUCAGGCCCAGCAUCUUAUUUCACUGAGCUGUUCCCAAGCUUGUUCAAUAGUGCUUGGAACUUCUAUUUGUUGUUUGUUCACAUCACUCUGAAGAGAAAACCAUGAAAAUAUCUAGAGCACUCAGCUUGGUUUUGAUCUGUCAACCUCAUGUCAUUAGGUAGCAUCAACAUCACACUGAGCUACACCUGAGCUUGCUAUAGUGUGGUUGGAACUGCUAUUUAUCACUUACAUUAGUCUGGAAAGAAAGCAGUGAAAAUAUCACAAGAGGAGAACUAGGAUUUGAUCAAUUGACCUCAGAUCAUCAGGUUCCAACAGUAUCACCAACUGAUCUCUCUGAGCUGUACCUCAGCUUGCUGUGCGCUUUUCGAAACUUCUAUUUAUUCUUCUAAUCACUGAGGAGAAAACAGAAAAUCUCCUAAUGGGUGAGCUUGAAUUUGAUCCAGCAACCUCUGACUAGCAAGCAGCAACACCUGAGCUCAAUGAGCUACACCUGAGGCUGGAAAGGAGUUGGUGGAUGUUGUAAUAGUUGUUCACAUGACUGAGGAGAAAACUUUGAAAAAAUUGUCUAAUCAGGUUUUGAACCCACAACCUGAGAGUGCUGAAAAUCAGCAGCUCAGUGCUUCCUCACUGAGCCAUCUAGAGGAUGGUUGAGCUGACGUCUCCUAUUGCUUUUCUCUACAAUAUGGGGGAAAAGAACAUUAUGAUUACCAGACAUCCUCAAAAUCCAACCAUAGGUUUGAACCCUCCACUAUCAAUCAUCAGCCAUCAGCAGCCUCACUCACUGAGCUGCAUCUGAAGUGUACAAUUGUGUUGGUUCAAUCCCUUUCAGUUUAUCAGGGAGCAGUAACUGAUCUCCCUGAGCUACACCUGAGGCUGUGAGUGUGUUGGUUGGAUGUUGUAUUUAUCAUUCUGAUGACCGAGGUGAAAACUGAAAAAACUCCACAGCUUGGAUUGAUCCUGCCACGUCUCACACACACACACAGGAGCCAUAACACCCCCCUCAGCUGCUUAUUCUGCUGAGCUAUACCUGUCUGUUUGUCAUUAUUAAAAAUUUAACCAAAAUUCUGUUGAGCUGACAUGGAUUCCUCUAUCUUGGGCUGUGGGCUGUCUUGUGGAAAGCCUCGCUCCAGACCGACCACGUGGUUCAUUCUUUGGUAUGGACAGCAGGGGGCGCCGCAGCUGCAGGAAAGUCACAGUGAAGUGGAGUGUCAAAAUCAGCAUAAAUGUCAUUUUUCACAGUUAUUGCUCAUAUUAAAAUGGCUCAUUUUCGUUAUCAUG